GAUGAACGCUGGCGGCGUGCCUAAUACAUGCAAGUCGAACGCAUUGAGAGAAGUGCUUGCACUUUUCAAUUUGAGUGGCGAACGGGUGAGUAACACGUGGGCAACCUACCUGAUAGCGGGGGAUAACGAGUGGAAACAUUCGCUAAUACGGCAUAACAAUAGAGAAGGCAUCUUCGUUAUGUAAAAGGCGCUUUCAAGCGUCACUAUCAGAUGGGCCCGCGGUGCAUUAGUUAGUUGGUGGGGGGAAGGCCUACCAAGACGAUGAUGCAUAGCCGAGUUGAGAGACUGAUCGGCCACAUUGGGACUGAGACACGGCCCAAACUCCUACGGGAGGCUGCAGUAGGGAAUCUUCCACAAUGGACGAAAGUCUGAUGGAGCAACGCCGCGUGUGUGAUGAAGGCUUUCGGGUCGUAAAGCACUGUUGUAUGGGAAGAAAUGCUAGGCUAGGAAAUGAGCUUAGUUUGACGGUACCAUACCAGAAAGGGACGGCUAAAUACGUGCCAGCCGCCGCGGUAA
rnacentral:rRNA from 1 species